rnacentral:rRNA from 1 species
AUCCUACGGGGGGCAGCAGUGGGGAAUAUUGGGCAAUGGAGGAAACUCUUACCCAGCAAUGCCGCGUGAAUGAAGAAGGUCUUCGGAUUGUAAAGUUCUUUAAUUGGGGACGAAAAAAAUGACGGUACCUGACCAAGAAGCCCCGGCUAACUACGUGCCAGCAGCCGCGGUAAUACGUAGGGGGCAAGCGUUAUCCGGAAUUACUGGGUGUAAAGGGAGCGUAGACGGUGAUGCAAGUCUGGAGUGAAAGGCGGGGGCCCAACCCCCGGACUGCUCUGGAAACUGUAUGACUUGAGUGCAGGAGG